GACGGAAGGUGCAAGCGUUGCUCGGAAUCACUGGGCGUAAAGGGUGCGUAGGCGGCUUGGUAAGUUGGGUGUGAAAGCCCCGGGCUCAGCCCGGGAAGGGCACUCGAAACUGCCGAGCUGGAGUGCCGGAGGGGAGAGUGGAAUUCCUGGUGUAGCGGUGGAAUGCGCAGAUAUCAGGAGGAACACCAAUAGCGAAGGCAGCUCGCUGGGACGGUAUUGACGCUGAGGCGCGAAAGCGUGGGGAGCAAACAGG
rnacentral:rRNA from 1 species